rnacentral:rRNA from 1 species
UACAGAGGGGGCGAGCGUUGUUCGGAAUUACUGGGCGUAAAGGGCGCGUAGGCGGCCUUCUAAGUCGAACGUGAAAUCCCCGGGCUCAACCCGGGAACUGCGUCCGAUACUGGGAGGCUUGAAUCCGGGAGAGGGAUGUGGAAUUCCAGGUGUAGCGGUGAAAUGCGUAGAUAUCAGGAGGAACACCAAUGGCGAAGGCAGCUCGCUGGGACGGUACUGACGCUGAGACGCGAAAGCGUGGGGAGCAAACAGG